UUUUAAUAGUAUUGCAUUCCACAACAAAUGUAGAUGCCAGAUUGGAUUUUUGAGCAUUGUGUAUACACACAAGGCAGACUUGAUAAGCUUUAUGUUUUGGUGGACUUUUCUUUUUCCCAUGUGUAUGGAAGAAAGGGGGCAAUCGCUUUGAUCAGACAAAAGCACUUCUUCAUUUGUCUCGUGUACGUCAGUCAAACUCGGAUAUAAUUUUGUUGUGUCCACAUGAAAAUACAAAAUUGUACCCUGUUGCUGGAUUUUGUUUGGAUUAUGAUGAACACAGCAUUAAAACGUAGUGUCUGUUUCCCUGCAGACAUACUGUAUCUCAUAUUGACAUAUAUGUUGGCAUUUGAAGCUCAGAUUCUGCAAGCCCAACUUCUGUUCUUGAAUAAUUUUAGGGGCCAUGAGUGCAAAAUUAAAGUGAUUAAAUGAGUAUUGCUUGGGACACACUGCUGUAAAUAUGCUUGUAUCACGGAUGAUUCAAAGGUGUAAUGUUGAUUGUUCAUGAUCUGUGAUUCGUUUAUCCGAGAGAAGCAAAUUGACUUGGAAAGAACAACACAAGCCUCUUGCUUUAACGCUUUUUUUUUU